rnacentral:rRNA from 1 species
UAGGGAAUCUUCGGCAAUGGACGAAAGUCUGACCGAGCAACGCCGCGUGAGUGAAGAAGGUUUUCGGAUCGUAAAACUCUGUUGUUAGAGAAGAACAAGGACGUUAGUAACUGAACGUCCCCUGACGGUAUCUAACCAGAAAGCCACGGCUAACUACGUGCCAGCAGCCGCGGUAAUACGUAGGUGGCAAGCGUUGUCCGGAUUUAUUGGGCGUAAAGCGAGCGCAGGCGGUUUCUUAAGUCUGAUGUGAAAGCCCCCGGCUCAACCGGGGAGGGUCAUUGGAAAAUGGGAGACUUGAGUGCAGAAGAGGAGAGUGGAAUUCCAUGUGUAGCGGUGAAAUGCGUAGAUAUAUGGAGGAACACAAGUGGCGAAGGCGGCUCUCUGGUCUGUAACUGACGCUGAGGCUCGAAAGCGUGGGGAGCAAACAGG